UGGUUUGGUUUGAUUCCAUGAGAAACUAAUUGCGAUAAUUUUCAUAUUCACGAGUAUAAAUUUUCUACCAUUGCAACCCUUCUAAACAGACUGGGUACGGUGACGUAAUAAAUUCAUAGGAUUUCAUUAGUGAUCUCACAGUGAUUCCCACUUCUUAAUCUUCUUCUUUAAUUUCCCCCAAUUGUAUAUUUUGUUAUUUUCAAUUUUGUGCCCUAGAUUGAAAAUUAAAUCGAUUUCCCAAUUUUUGGCGGAAGGACCAAUUUUGCAGAAGAUUUCACGUUGAUUACUGGUAAGUAAUUUACAGUUAUAAUUGCUUAGCUAGAUUUGUUAGUAAUUGAUUGAUUAUGAGUCUCCAUAGCUUCAAUUUGCGUGAAAUUUGUUGAAUCCGAUCGAUUAAUUAGAAAUGAAAAAAGGUUACUCAGCUUGUUCUUCUGAUUCUCCUUCGUCGUCUUCUUCUUCUGCCACUUCUUGUAAUGAAGACAGGAUCAGAAACUUGCCAGAUCCUUUGAUUCACCAUAUCCUAUCUUUCAUCUACACUAAAUAUGCUGUUCAGACUUGUGUUUUGUCUACAAGAUGGCCAUAUAUCUGGACUUCUCUGGCGGUAUUAAAAUUCUGUGACAGUGUUCAUCGCGAAACAUGGAAUGAAGAAGAAUGUCGAACCACCAAGCGCUUCAUAAAGUUUGUGACAGACGUACUCAGUCGUCGUGAUAACUCUGAUAUGCAAAGGUUUUCGCUGGAAUGUUCUCUCAAUUAUUCGACUACUGAUAGGUUGUAUAAAUGCAUAAAUAGAUGUAUCGCCACUGCUGUCAGCCAUAAUGUUCAGGAGCUAUAUAUUCAGGUCACCCCUGAAUGGUGUUUUGAGAUUCCUGUUUGUCUAUGUACAUGUGAAUCUUUGAAGAAGCUGGAGCUGGAUGUGCGUGCUGCCGGUGAGGAUUUAAUUGGUUUCAGCCAUAUUACACUAGCUACCUUGUGAAAUGAGUUUGCCUCAGCUCAAAUCACUGUAUCUAAGACCCGAAGAUUUAAUGUUUACUGAUGAUGAAUUAACGAAUAAGUUCUUUCCAAGUUUUCCUACUUUAGAGUCGUUGGUAAUAGUUCUUCCGGGAUCACCUGAUUGCAGAUCAACUGAAUUUGUAUUUGAAGGUAUGGAUCUUAAACUUUCUUUGCCUGAACUCAAGUAUUUUGAGUUCAUUAGUGCGGAAGAUAGCUACCGGGGUUUGGUAAAAGGAAGUAAUAGUGAGGUUACACUGAAUGCUCCAAGUCUGUCAUCCUUCAUUCUGGACAGUUACAUGUCAACCAGUUUCACUUUAGAGAAUCUUUCAUCUCUAGUCACUGCUGAUAGCGAGAUAAACAUUUAUAGGGAAGAUGAAUAUUAUGAUGAGAUUCAAGAGGAUGUGAAAGAACUUGAUGCCCAGCGUUUUGUGGGAUUUUUCAGAGGGGUUCAUAAAGUGAAAGUCUUAACAUUAAGGCGUUCUUUCAUGUUGGCCUUAGCUGGAGCUCCUGAUAUAUUUAGACAGUCAGCAGCUUGUUUUUUACAAUUUACAACGUCUGGAGCUGUGGACCAACUUUUCGAAGGACUGCCUGCAUUCCAUAUUGUACAUAUUAAAGAUGUCUCCUAACAUAGAAUCUGUUUCCCUGAAGAUAUCACAGCCAUAUUACGACGAGCAGAAUCCACAUUUUAUUGAGAAAAGAAAAGAGUAUCCAUAUUGUGACGAGGUAAAGUUUAAUACAGAAAACAUAGGAGACUACUGGGACACAGGGUUUUCUUUGCGGUGCAUGAUAUGUCACCUAAAGUUUGUCAAGAUCAAAGGUCUUCUUGGGUGUGUUGAUGAACUGAAGUUUUUAGAGAUUCUCUUUAAACAUGCAGCAGUAUUGGAGAAAGUGGUACUAGCCAGUGAUUCUAGUAAGCAAGACUCACUAAGGAAGAAACGAAUGAAGAAAUUUAGCGAGAUGCUGCUAACUUUUCCAAGAGCAUCUAAAAAUAUCAUUAUCUUGUGCAGAUUUUGAGUAAGGUAACUUGGCCUAAUUUUUUGUUGCAAGUUGAUAGUUACUGAUUAAUGAAACUGGAUAUGGACCUUCAAUCUUAUGCUUGUUUUUGGUUCAAUUAAUGUUUUUUCCCUGUGAAAGAUCAUCAAUGAUUACAUGUAUCUUAGAUGUUCUCUUUCCUAGUCACUCUUCUCAGGUGCACCUUGGUGGAUCUGGGAUGGGCAAUUGCGGUCGUAGGCUUGAAACUUUUGAAAAGUGGGUUGUUUGCGCCAGAUAUCAGUUGUGUAAAAAAUUCAUUAGAUUUAAAGGCAUUCGAUAUCACUGUUUUAAGGUGAUUCUCCAUGGGAAUCCGCAGAGUUGUGGACU